UUGCUUCAGCAGCACAUACACUAAAAUUAGAAAGAUACAGAGAAGAUUCUCAUGGCCCCUGGGGCCAAGGGUGACACACAAAUUCAUGAAACAUUCCAUUAAAAAUUUUU
ensembl:snRNA U6 U6 spliceosomal RNA